rnacentral:rRNA from 1 species
CAGUCGCCACGGUAAAACGAGGGGAGCUAGCGUUAUUCGGAAUUACUGGGCGUAAAGCGCACGUAGGCGGCUUUGUAAGUUAGAGGUGAAAGCCCAGAGCUCAACUCUGGAAUUGCCUUUAAGACUGCAUCGCUUGAAUCCAGGAGAGGUGAGUGGAAUUCCGAGUGUAGAGGUGAAAUUCGUAGAUAUUCGGAAGAACACCAGUGGCGAAGGCGGCUCACUGGACUGGUAUUGACGCUGAGGUGCGAAAGCGUGGGGAGCAAACAGGAUUAGAUACCCGAGUAGUCCCUGUCUCUUAUAC